rnacentral:ncRNA from 2 species
GAGUUAUAUAGCACAAGUGGUUACACUAACGUGUAUGAAAAAGGAAUCCAGUGAGAAUCUGGAACUGACCCGCAGCGGUUAAUGGGAACGAACCCUCUAAUCAUGGCACUGGGAAACUGGGAAGCCCGAGGUAGUAGGAAAGAAAUUGUGCCCAUAAGUCCGAAUACUUGCCACUUAUUAAAAUUAUGU